rnacentral:rRNA from 2 species
GAGAGGAUCUGCUCCUAGUACGAGAGGACCAGAGUGGACGAACCUCUGGUGUACCGGUUGUGACGCCAGUCGCAUCGCCGGGUAGCUAUGUUCGGAAGGGAUAACCGCUGAAAGCAUCUAAGCGGGAAGCCUACCUCAAGAUAAGAUUUCCCUAGGACUUUAUGUCCUCUAAAGAGCCGUUCGAGACUAGGACGUUGAUAGGUUGGAUGUGGAAGCAUAGUGAUAUGUGAAGCUGACCAAUACUAAUUGCUCGUGAGGCUUGACUAUACAACACCCAAGCAGUUG